rnacentral:rRNA from 1 species
CUGACGUUAGCGGCGGACGGGUGAGUAACACGUGGGUAACCUACCUAUAAGACUGGGAUAACUCCGGGGAAACCGGGGCUAAUACCGGAUAAUACAUGAAACCGCAUGGUUUCAUGAUGAAAGUACGGUUUUGCUGUCACUUAUAGAUGGACCCGCGGCGUAUUAGCUAGUUGGUAAGGUAACGGCUUACCAAGGCAACGAUACGUAGCCGACCUGAGAGGGUGAUCGGCCACACUGGAACUGAGACACGGUCCAGACUCCUACGGGAGGCAGCAGUA